rnacentral:rRNA from 1 species
UACGUAGGGUGCAAGCGUUAAUCGGAAUUACUGGGCGUAAAGCGUGCGCAGGCGGUGAUGUAAGACAGGUGUGAAAUCCCCGGGCUCAACCUGGGAACUGCAUCCGAGACUGCAUUGCUAGAGUAUGGGAGAGGGAAGCGGAAUUUCUGGUGUAGCAGUGAAAUGCGUAGAUAUCAGAAGGAACAUCAGUGGCGAAGGCGGCUUCCUGGACCAAUACUGACGAUCAGGUGCGAAAGCGUGGGGAGCAAACAGG